UUAGUAAUAUGUGAUUUUUUAUGUUGAUGCAGAUGAGGUUUCGCAGCAUUUUCCUGGGUGGAGCAAUGGUCGGAAACUAGGUCACCGAUGAGGGUUUAUGGGCGAACAUUUUCAUUUUGAUUUCUCAUUCAAAAUCUGAUCGAACAUACCCAACAAUAAGCAAGGCAGAUCCUCAUUCAAAACCAUAUGUUGGCCAAAGCACUUUUUCAGGUUUAGCAGUUUUCAUGGCAUAAGCUUUAACACUUUGAAAUCAGCUCAUGAUCGCAUCGAAGGUACGAUUUCUGAGGAAUACGAAGCUUGGAUCGUGCAAGAUCAAGUUGUCUUCAUCUGGUUACUAUCCAUAAUUUCAGAGUUUGUUCUUCCUUGAGUUCUUGCAUGUAAACACGCCUUUGAAGUUUGGGACAAGAUUCACCAAUUCUUCAAUGCGCAAUUAAAAGCUAGGGCGCGAUAACUUCGGGUAGAACUCAAAUCGACUAAGAAAGGGAACAAGUCGUUCACUGAAUUCGUCCUAAGGAUCAAAGAAAUUGCAAAUUUUCUGCUAGCUGUUGGUGAUUCUAUUACAGAACAAGAUCAGGUUGAUUCGAUUCUUGAAGGUCUACCUAAAGAAUGCAAUCCCUUUGUUAUGCAUAAUUAUGGUUGCACUACUCCUCCCACUCUGUGUGAUGUUGAAGCUCUGCUUUAUGUACAAGAAGCACAAAUAGACAAGUUUCGCCAAGAAAUGGACACUUCAAACGUAGCUGCCAAUGUUGCUCACACAAGCCAAGAAGGGAACAUCUCCAUAGGAGCAUACUCGUUCCAUCGUGGUAGAGGAAGAUUCAUUCGUGGGUGCAGUCGUGGAAGAGAUUGAAACAGAAAUGGAAAUUGACCUACAUGUCAACUGUGUGAAAAGUAUGGGCAUUCAGUCACCACGUGUUGGUAUUGAUUUGAUGAAAACUCCAUGCCUUCAUUCAUAUUUAGUACUUUUGUUAAUCCUGCAAAGACUUAAAAUUCCACUCAAGAAUCUACUCAAGAAACUUCACAUGGCUUUCAAACCAUGGCAAUGAUGGCUACAAUAAGUCGACCUAAUGUAAGAAUACUCCUUGCCUUCAGAAUUGGAGUCUCAAGCUUGGUUUGCGGAUUCAAGUGCUUCCCACCACUUAACUCCUUACGAUUCUCUGUUACAGAAUAAAAGAAAAUAUGUAGGAGCCAACAAGGUUUAUGUAGGAAAUGGCCAAAUUCUUAACAUUCAUUCAGUAGGAUCCACACAGUUUUACUCUAAGAUCAAUCCCACGCAUAAGUUAAUUCUUACCAAUAUCCUACAUAUGCCUUCUAUCACUAGAAACUUGUUAUCUAUUUCAAAAUUCUCUAGUGAUAACAAUGUUGUUUUUGAAUUCCUGCCUGACAAAUGCUAUAUUAAAUCUUAAGCUUCUAAACAAGUCAUUGUUCAAGGAGUCCUAGAUGUUAAUGGCCUUUAUUGCUUUCCUCGGCUAUCUGUGGAGCUCAUAAGCUCUCAUCAUUUGAAUAACAACUUGAGUUACAUAACUGGUAGUCAAAGUUAUGUUGUUUCUCAUUCUAGUUUAGCUUUCUCAAAUAAUUGUAACACUAGUGUUCUUUGGCAUAAUAGGCUAGGCCAUGCCAAGUUUAACUUUGUAUAUACUCAAAUUUUGUAAUAUACAUUCAUCUAAUAAACAUAGUAAUACUUUUUGUA